UAGGGAAUCUUCGGCAAUGGGGGGAACCCUGACCGAGCAACGCCGCGUGAGUGAAGAAGGUUUUCGGAUCGUAAAGCUCUGUUGUUAAGGAAGAACGAGUGUGAGAAUGGAAAGUUCAUGCUGUGACGGUACUUAACCAGAAAGGGACGGCUAACUACGUGCCAGCAGCCGCGGUAAUACGUAGGUCCCGAGCGUUGUCCGGAUUUAUUGGGCGUAAAGCGAGCGCAGGCGGUUAGAAAAGUCUGAAGUGAAAGGCAGUGGCUCAACCAUUGUAGGCUUUGGAAACUGUUUAACUUGAGUGCAGAAGGGGAGAGUGGAAUUCCAUGUGUAGCGGUGAAAUGCGUCGAUAUAUGGAGGAACACCGGUGGCGAAAGCUGCUCUCUGGUCUGUAACUGACGCUGAGGCUCGAAAGCGUGGGGAGCGAACAGG
rnacentral:rRNA from 1 species